AUUUUAAAUGCUACUGCUCUUUCACCAUUUCAGCUACAAACAUUAAAACAACUUCAACAUUUUCAAAACUGUAUCAAUUUGAACAAUUUACAAUUUCAUGAAUUAGCAUAAAUAACACACCAACAGUAAUAUUAUAGGCCUAACUCUAGAACCGUUCAAGCUAGAGACAACCAACCAACUUUCACCUGUUCCAGCUAUCAUUUUCUAUCAACCAUAUUACUUCAAGACAAGCUAGCAAGCACACACAUUUUCUUUAGGAAAUGUACUUUUCGAGGAUUCAGUUGACCUUAGUCACCGCCGGUGAAUUUUUGCUUCCAUGUAAAACCAAUAGGUCUACUACUACGGACGGGGAAUGGACAUAUGAACCGAAUUGCGUUGUGGUUGGAGGUCGCUAUACGAGCUGCUUAUCUGUAAAACUUUUCUUUACCAUUUACCAGGCAAAAUAUCCCAGUAAAUAGAUUCUGAACAACUUAAACUAGACUUACUGUAUAAUUAUUAUUGUUUGAAAAAUGUCCCCAUCGUGCUCAUGGAAUCAACCUUCUCUGAGGAGGAAGGUAGAGAGAAUAAUUGUCUCAAACUCUUCAAAUUGUAAACACCCUAAAACGUAUAAGAAGAGGUCUCAGAGGUGUAGUUUAUGGGAUGUUUCUGAUAAACUGUAGGUUUCUAUUUGAUUGGAAGGCUGUACAGGUGGUUUGGGAGAUGCGCAGUGUUGCCUAAUGUCACACUCGGUGGUGGUAUAAAAUCCCCUGGGUUUGUCCUCCAGUCUAUCUUGAGAAAAGACGAAGGCAGGAAAGCUACAUUACGCGCAAUUGUGGCUGAGAAGAAACCGAUAACAAGAUGACUAAAAUUGUGAUGGCUUACAUUGGGUUCCUUCUCCUUGCCAUGCGUUUUUCGUCACAGAUCCACGCGCAAAACACUACCACACAGUCCCCUGCCAUGAAUGCUACGACCAGAGCUGGCGGUGCGAGUUCCAACAUGACCAAGAUGCCCGACGUCACCAAGAACAACAUUGCCAAAGGAGCCAGUGCAUCUUUGCAGUCCAGCUCGGUUGUGCUCAUCAUACCCAUCAUGGUGGGGGGCUCACUACAGGGGCGCUUCUAGAGGGCUGUUGAGCAGUGAACAGACACCAGCAAGACUUCAACAUCAGCGGCCUAGAUGGGGCAAACUGUUCGACCAAGAUCACAUUUAAAAAAUAAUAUUCAGGAAGGCAGUCAUGUUUGCACCUAACCGAAUAGAUUCGAGGGAGUUGCGUGCUGUACCAGAACCCAUUUCUACUUCAAUGAUUGGAAUUGUUAUUUGCCCUCACACCUUCAAACCAUUAGGCCUUCACACCUCGCACACUGACCCCAUGCCCAAAGGCCGAACUGUACGGUCCUCUCCAUGGAGGCAGUCCAUGAUGAGUAUGUACUGUACGGAACUCUGCUCUUUGAACCGUUUGGUCCCGCUGUUCCUGUGUAGACACCAGGGGGUAGUUUAGUAAUUUGUUAAGAAGUUAACAUAUCUAAAGAAAUGUUGGUUGAGGCACUUUGAAAAUAAGGUAUAAAUGAAUCUGUGGCAUUUCUGCACCUGCAGUGAGUACUUUGUCAGAGGCUUGAUGUACACUUGUGAUUUAUUUCUAGAAAUGGAAUUGUGAGAUAGCAUGUGAGAUUUAAUUGUAUGAAUCAUGAUGUGAUAUGCGUAGAUUUGUUUUUUAAGGCCAGGUUCAAUAAACCUUUAAAAUGUAGGAUACUUGUGAGAAUUUAUUUGUAUAAUAAAAAUAUUUUAACAAUGUUUCUUCUCCUGUCUCUAAAUUCUAAAGCUUGACCUGACAAGUAAUUUGCUCUGUUCCACUUGUGUCCAGCCCCUUUAUUGAUCACAUGGCUAAACCCAGGGAUUUCCUUAACGUAGACUAGGUGUGAUGUGCCACAAAUUAAAUCCUUAUUUUAGAAUGGGGUAUAGGAAUGUUCACCUUUGGCCAGUUGUAGCAUUUAUGCUAUGUCAACUAGGACCUUUCUUGCAUUCCUUGUGGCCAAAACAGUUCAGUUUCCUGACAGUUGACUCACUUGCAGGCUGCUUUAAUUAGAUUUACUUUACCCUAGCUACAUUGACCUGUGACCAGUCCAUUUACUAACUAGCCUACAAAGAUGUUCAGGGGAAGGCUGGCUGUAAAGUAUAUUUGACCUAACACUAGUUUCUUGACACUGGGUCUUGCUGGUUGGCUCUCAGCCAAAGGGAUGGUUAACUUUUUAGACUUAUCAUCCCAUAACUCUAAGCCAGGGGUUUUAAACUAUAUUGCAUGGUUUAUAAGGUCAUACCAAGGUCAAUUUUCCUGUUUUAACAACUCCCUUGACUCAACUAAUGUAAUUAUUUGUGACGAGCCCAUAGUUUGUUCUGUCUGUCCAAGCUAGACCUGAGAGAUCAGGAUACUUUUCUGGAACUAAGUCUAUUCAACUGAUACUGUGGGACCUUCAAGCGAUGUUUGAGUCUGACCUUUCCAGAAGAGUUGUAGUGUGUAGACUUCAUAUGCAACAGACUCAUUAGAGGCUGUUCAGACUAGUCCCAAGAUGGUUGUAGAGAAACUGAAUGUGUUCGCUAGUGAAGUGAGUAGACUGGUUUUUGAGAUAUCUCAUGGUCUUACUAACACACCUUACACAGGCAGAUGUGGUGGAUUGAGAUGCAUCCAAUGCAAAAAAAACAUCUUAAACUGACUUUUGUGGGGAUUUAAUGCUAAUUGACCUAAGGGGGUUUGAACUGAUGCUGUAGAUUGGUCAUUCUCAAUUUGUUUUUGGGGCUUACCUGUUUGGCAUUAAUGUGUCACAUCAGUUUGUAAAAAAAAAAAAGGAUUAAAGCUGCAUACAAACAUGGUCUCUUUUGCUUUCUU
ensembl:lncRNA